ACUUAACAAACUUUGAAUGUCUACAAAUCUCUGGCUGUCACUAUUUAUAGAAGCGAUGCGAGAAGAAGAAAGGUGAUGAUUGGCACAAGAUAGUACACAUCCCAGAUAUUCAGAUUGGAUAGCCAUCCAAUUACAGCUUGAAUUUUUUUGAAGAAAGAAGCGAGCUAUAAACUGGGCAUGCAGCUUAGGGGAGGGGAGAGGAGGAGAGAUCAGGAGGGACCCUGAGGGACCCCUGAACUACUGUUGAUCUACAUGAAAGUCCAAAGAUGUGAGUGAGCUGCAUCAUUCUUCCAUGAAGCUUUCCUCUCCUCCCACUCAUAACAAUAAAGGCAAAAUGAACAAUACAAAAGCUGAUGAUAAGCAAAAAAUAUGAUAUGAUGUUGGUGAGCCACAGUAGGCAUCCAUCUCUCUGUUCUAAUAUUAAAGGAAUGGGCCAAAAGAGGGAAGCAAUGAUUGGCCGAGGACAGACAGCAUCCCCACAGUGGAGAAUGACCAUAGAAAGAUCUUUCCACAUUGAAGAAAGCUCUCUUGACGUGCAUUGGGUAACGAUUGCAUUUUCUCUUCAUCUUUUUGUCCUAUUCUCAUAUUCCAUGCUUGGUUGCAAUUGGAGCAUUAAUGCCAGGAACUUCCAUUCGAAUUGCAUUUUUUAAUGACAUGUGUAAGUUCUCUUAUAUUUAUCUAAUAUUGAACUGACUCACCAAGUUGUUCAAGUGUUGAUAUAUCAUCAUGCAGGAACCAAACACUUAGAAUGCCUUAAAUGAGAAGCAACAAUAGCCGGUGAAUGCCAACACUAAGGAUAGAAGCAUCUAUGAACAAGCUUAUUUGUACAUGAAAAGUUGAAUCUAUGGCAAUGCUGCCCACACCCAAUAGCUUUCUCACCUAUGGCCACAAGGAGGAGAGUACUACAUCUUGAGGAACUAUCUCUCUGCAGAUUUAAACUCAUUGAACGUGACCUUUUUGUCCCUGUUGGCAUCUAUCCGAUUGAAAAAUCUCAUCAAGCUUCCCAAGUUCUGUUAUGUCUGCUGGAAGGCAGUCUUCUGGCAAGGCCUAUAUGGAUUUCAGUUAGAUGAUCUUUUCUACCACAUGCAAAGUAAAACUAUAGAGAAAUGCUAAGGCGAUUCGUGUGCAGGCAGACGGAAGAGGCAGAGAUUCAAGUCACAUAUGUGCGAGAUCCAAGCUGUUCAUUAGUAUAUAUUUUCUCAUUUUACCAAAAAGGAAAAGAAAAUUAUUGCUAGAGAGUAUCUUGAGUUUUACUAAUUAACUCAGGAGAAUACUCGGAUCGUUAGCUUGUAAAAGUGGUGUCCAUGGCUUAGUUAUCCGAAACGAUUUGUUUAUUGAGCCCCACCAUGGAAGGAUCCUUCAAGAUCUUGACUAGUUAUAGGGAAACUUUUUUUUUUCCCCAUAUAGAAGUUUUUAGUAUCAACCAAUCCUCUAUCUACCCAUACUUCAUUAGUGUUCAGGGUUUCCUUUCAUUUUGAUUAUUUUCAAAAUAUAUAUGUUUAUAUUUUCUAGAAACCUGCAUUAUUUGACACCCAUGUCUGACACAUGUUGUUGUUCUAUUUUCUUCUUACGUCUGGCAACGUUUAUAUACAUUUUGUUUAGGUCAUAGUUUUGCUACUAGAAUACAUUUUCCUGUUUCUUAUGUAUAUGGUGUUUGGAACCAAGAGAGAAUAUAUGUUUUAAAAACAUACUCUUAUUGACUCGCAUUAUUAAAUGCCAUGGUAGAGACGUUUCUUUACUUUUUGGUAAAAUGUAUAUUGGUGAAAUAUCAUGCUCUCUUCUCCACGCACAGACACACACACACACACACACACAAAAACACAAUAUGCACGCCAAUGUGGCGAUAACUGUGGAUGUCUAUCAGCUUGUUUUUAUUAGGAUAUCUAUUCUUGGUUCCAAAUUGAUCUUAUAUGAGCUAUUUCUAAUAAAACAACUUUCAUAUGUCAUUAUACAUCUGCACAGAUAUGUGGGAGUGGUGGGUUUUCCAGGACCUUGUUUCUACUUAUUUCCUUGUCCAAAAAAAAGACACUGCUGUCCAUGUCCAAAAUAGGUAUACAUAUGCAUGUUGACGUUGCAGUGUCGCAACAUUGCUUUCCGGUUAUAUUGACUGCCCCUCUUUAAAUCCUGUAUUUUUAAAAAUGUGUAAGAUUUGUUCUAAUGGAAUGCUUUACUCUUUUUACUCUUUUAUGCUUGUCUUCUUUCAGUGAUUUGAGUAGUCCUUGAUAUUCGGGGAUUAAGUACCCGAGAAAGUGCAAAAAGGAAUGAUAGAAUUCUGAAAAUAAGAUCAAGAUUGUGCUUUCUUGACCAUCAGGAGUAUACAUAUGUUGGUGUGUUUUAUAUAGUCCUUUGCUUCUUAUUUUCUCUUAUGAUUCCUUGCCUAAUGUUGUGGUUGUGUGGAUCUCUUGACUGGCAAUUCUGCAGAAAUCAUUCAGAAGGUAGGAUCACAAGAUUAAUGUAAAAUCUUUUUUCUGAUGAAAGGUAGAGUUAUAUUUAAUCACUAACCCAAGAGGCAUGCUACUUGCAGGCAUGCAUCUGCAGAUGCGCAAUACAACUGUCUCACGUAAAGUCAAAACUUGAAACACAUGUUGGUGAUCCAAGCCCUUCAUCACACUGGCGUCAUGAUGAAUGUGUCUUCACUUAUUAUCAGUUUUGCCCAUUCAUCAGGAUUUGCGAAAUUGGUUACAGCUUUUGCAAGAAAUGGUCACAGAUGAGAAGUAUAGAUUGAGCUGUUGAACCGUGUCAGGAAAUGUCAAUAGUGCAGCCCAAUUCAGAGUAAUGGAAGAAUCUCUGAUGAAAUCUCUUUAUUCACAUUGAGAACACUAGAGACAUCACUGUUGGCAGUUAACUAAUCAUGGCAAUAUAUGGGAGCUAGUGAAGAUCUCAACUUUUCGAUGGCUCAAUGAGAUGCCACAUACUUGAAGUUUCAGAUACAUGUUGAAUCUUGAUCUCCAAUCUUCCUAUCAAUAACCCAGCUACAAUUUUGCACCUUCCAACAAAAUACCAUUCUAUGAACGGAUUCGACCAAACUUCCAUGAUCCAUCCCAUACAAUAGCUUGGAUUUGAGAAGCCAGACCUGGUACCUUUCAUCCCUUCCAUGUUCAAGUAUUUGAGGGAAAGGGGGAUGCAAGUCGAAGUAAAGGUUGUCUACAUUGCAAUUGAGGCUCUGUGGCUUCAUACAUUCAUGGAUGUGGCCCACUAGACUGCAUGGACAAACGAUCAAGACCACCAUCCAUCUGCUCGCCCCUACCAUUGUGGGUGAUUGUACAGAAGACGGAGAAUCCGAUCUACCUUAUUUCAGUUGCAGUCAGAUUAUGAAGACCAGCAUAUACACACACCUACUGUUUGUGGGUGAUUGUACAAAAAACAUGUGGAUAGGAGAAUCCUAGCUGCCCAAUUUUCUCUGUUGAAUGUGAUAUUUAUACAGUUUGUACAAAAAAAGGCUGAUUUUUGUCAUCACCUGUUUGCUUGAAGGCUCUUA